UUUCCGUAGAUGAACCUGCGGAAGGAUCAUUACAGAGUUCACGCCCUCACGGGUAGAUCUCCCACCCUUGAAUAUUUAUACCUUAGUUGCUUUGGCAGGCCGUGGAAACACCAUGGGCUCCGGCUUAUGCGUGCCUGCCAGAGGAAACAAACUCUGUUUUUAGUGAUGUCUGAGUACUAUAUAAUAGUUAAAACUUUCAACAACGGAUCUCUUGGUUCUG
rnacentral:misc_RNA from 1 species